GGCCGCAGAAUUUUAACUGUGCAAAGGUAGCAUAAUCACUAGUUUUUUAAUUGGAAGCUUGAAUGAAUGGUUGGACGAGGUAUUAGCUGUUUCAUAUUAAAAUUUAGAAUUUUAUUUUUAGGUUAAAAAGCCUAAAUUUUUUUGAAAGACGAGAAGACCCUAUAGAUUUUUAUAGUUUAGUUAUUCUAAUUAUUAAGAUUUAUUUAAUUAUUAUAUUUUGAACUAUUGUGUUGGGGUGACAUAGAGAUUUAUUUAACUUUCUAUAUUUUUUAUACAUUUAUUUAUGGUUAUAUAUAUAUGAUUUGAUCCUUAUUUUUAGAUUAGAAAAUUAAGUUACCUUAGGGAUAACAGCGUAAUUUUUUCGGAGAGUUCUUAUCGAUGAAAAAGAUUGCGACCUCGAUGUUGGAUUAA
rnacentral:rRNA from 1 species